UACAGAGGGUGCAAGCGUUGUCCGGAAUCACUGGGCGUAAAGGGCGCGUAGGCGGCCUGAUAAGUCGGGGGUGAAAUUCUGCGGCUUAACCGCAGGACGGCCUUCGAGACUGUCGGGCUUGAGCACGGUAGAGGCUGGUGGAAUUCCCGGUGUAGCGGUGGAAUGCGUAGAGAUCGGGAAGAACAUCGGUGGCGAAGGCAGCUCGCUGGGACGGUACUGACGCUGAGACGCGAAAGCGUGGGGAGCAAACAGG
rnacentral:rRNA from 1 species